GUGAGUGACAAAAACUCUGAACUCUUUCUGUUUUUUAACUUCUACAAACUUUUCUAUAUACUCUGUCCCAGGUGGCUGGGCAAAUACUUGAGCCUUGAAAUGAAAUCUUGGAGUAUUCAGUAACUCGCACCAGCUAAAUCAAUCAUGAAUUGUGUAAUAAACUUUAGCCUUUGGCAUUUCAGAAUUUCAAGACUUUUAUUGCGGCAGCUGUUCUUAUAGUUUAUCUUCUAAGUUAUUUGUGUUUUCUUUAUAAUCUGUGUAUACUUUUUAUAAAAGGAGUAAUACAUGAACCUCUGAGUCAGGGAAUAGAGCUAGAAUUGUAUGUUUUUUGCUAUAUGCAAAUGAUAAUUUACUUUGUUUCAUAUUUUUACUUUCAAAAUUAUUUUUAAAAGGUAGUAUUUCAGAUAGAUGAUAUAGUGUUUAAUUACUGUUUAACAAACAUCAUUGCUGUGUGAGAUCUCCCAGGAAACUUGUAAUCACGCAAACAUUGUUUUUGUAAACUUUUAAAAAUCAAAUUUACCUUCAUACUUGUCUAGCAAUUAUCAAUAUGUGGGCAAAGGACUCACACAGAAGAUCUAUUAAAGAAGAACUAAAUAUAUUGAACAAAAUUAUACAAUAGAAUCAGUCUUUCAACAAUAUGACUACUCCAAACCUCAAUAUUACUAAAUUUAUUGUUUUGCUAAUCUUGUUCCACAUAUUUCAAUUUUUUUAAAUGAGUUUCUCUAAGGACUUCUGUGAGCGAGAAGAGUUUGUAUGUUUCUUUAACAUUUUCAUUUCUCUUCUUAUGUUCAAAUGCUCUGACCAUUUUUCUUUGAGUUGUCUAUAUUGUUAUUUCUGAAAUAUAUUAGUUCUUUAGAUAUGUGAAUUUUAAUCAUAUCUGGUAUAUAUACUAUAGAUAUAAUUCCUAAUUUAUCACCAUUAUUUUAACUUUAUUGAUUCAUUUUAAUUUUUAAUAUUCAAGUUUAUGAAAAUAUUUAGUAAUAACUUUUAUACCUCAUUAAUUACUAAGUAGGAAUAUUCUUCCUCGUAUCUAAUAUAUAGUCUGAUAUAAUUCUUAAAAAUAUUUUUGCAGUCGCAUUGUACUUAGCUCUGCAUUUCAUCAGGAGUUUAUUUUUCUAACGCAUGGGGUAGAAACCUAAAUUUUUUUCCUGAAGUAGCAAAGCAUCAUUUAUUGAACUGUCAUCGGUCUAUUCAUACCACAUUUCCCACUGAUUUGAAUAUUGUCUUAAUUGUGUGCUAAAUUUAUGAGUAUGUGGAUCUGCUGAAUUCUGUGAUAUUGACCAGUCUAUCAAGAUCAAUAUUGGCAUGAUACUGUUUUAAUUGCUAUAAAUUUAUAGAAAUAUAUGUUAUGAUAUGUAGCAAAUCAACCAUCCCUCACUAUUAUUUUUGUAUUCUUAAAGUAAUGCUGGAUUGCAAGAAUAAGUAUAUCUCCAAAUUUCAGUGUCUGAAACAAACAGAAGUUUGUUUCUCGUCCAUGUAACCAAGGCAAAUGCUCCUGGUUGGCAGGUGGCUUCCUCCAGGCAGUAAAUCUACAGCCCAGGCUCCCUGCAUCUUAUGGCUCCAAUCACUUUGGAUCUCAUCGUCGCCUGCACAUUGCCAUACACAGGGAAGGAGAAGAGAUGGAGAAGGCAAAGACUUUCUGAAAGCCGUGGCUAAAAGCUGGCAUGUGUCACAUCAGCUCACAUUCCAUUGUAGAGACGGGGUUUCACCGUGUUAGCCAGGAUGGUCUUGAUAUCCUGACCUCGUGAUCCGCCCGCCUUGGCUUCCCAAAGUGCUGGGAUUACAGGCGUGAGCCACCGCUCCCGGCCUGGCAGGCAUUCUUGAGGCAAACGGGAAAUGGGGUAAGUUACACAAUCGAUACAGCUCCGUCAUCGUGGUUUAAUUACUUUUCCACGUACCAUGUUUCCUGACAGGUAGAACGAUCAGCCUGGGCCUCCGUUUUUCAUUCUACAAAGAAUGAAGUGCAUGAACUGUCCUCUAUAGAAUUGUGGAAAAAGUUGUUUUUAUUGAGUUGUGGUUAUCUUUGUCUUCAUGGUCUAAUUACGGAAAUAAAUGCUUUUCCGAGUCUCCGGGGAUGGUCUGCCCUAGUCCAGCUCUCUGCAGUGUCUUUCUGGGUUUUUCCUCAGUGAACGGGAGGAACAUUGGCAGCACUUGUGGUCUGCACCAAGAACUGAAUCGAAUUUCCAUGUGUUAUUGAAUGUUCACAAAGACCUUGUACAGCGAGUGUUACUACCUCUGGUCAAUGAUUCAACUCAAGGCUCAGAAAAGUCAAGUGUCUUGUCCAGGGACACUUAGUCAGAAGUGAAUCCAAGGUUUAAGCUCAAGUCUGCCUAACUCUGAAUUUCACAGCCUUUUGCUACAUAUGGCGAAUAAUAUAUCCCUGAGCACUAAAGGCAGACUCCAAGGAUCUUGUCUCUGCAAUCAUCAUUCUGGCCAUAAUUUAUGAAAAGCAACCCAAAGUAUGUGAUGUAAUAAAAAGUACUAUCUAUGAGUUUACCCUUCCAAAAAUUGAACUGAAUUCUGAGCUCUAAAUUUGGAAUCAAAAGAACUUUUCUCUGCACUAAUCAUUUGGAACAUCACUUAAAGAAAACAACGAAAAACUGGUGUCCCCUGAGAGAAAGCAAUACAAAACAUUAUGCAUAAAGAAAUCCUUCCAAAAAAUAAACCAAAUCCAGUCAAAUCUCUAGUUUUGACUCCUAGCUUACCGGAAAUACGUGAUGGGAAAAAAAUGAAAUGACACCACUAUGAUUCAAUCAGCCAAAUCCAGCAUAUGCAAAUUUCUACCAGAUAAAUGGUUUAGUUUCUUCCCCAAACAAAUGGCACAAGGAAACGGAGGUAAGAAUGGGAUGCUGUUAUAGAUUUUAAAAGAUUUAAGAAAGUAUAAACUAAAUACACUAUGUGCAUCCUCUCUGAACGUGCUUCAAACAUAUCAAGGGGUCAAUGAGCAGUUUUGAAACAAUAAGGGAAUUUGAACACUGAAUGGUUGUCAGAAGAUAGUAAGAGAUCAUUAUUAAUUUUACUAGACAUAAUGAUGUUCUGAUUUUGUUUUUUUUUUAAAAAAAAAACAGUGUUAUUUCCUUUAUAGAUACAUCAUAUAGUAUUAACUAAUGAAAUGCUUUGAUAUCUGGAACGUUUAAAAAAUAUUCCCGAUGGAGUAAGUGCAAAGAAACAGGUAAGCAAAAUGCUGAUAAUUGCUGAAACACAGGAUGUGUACCUGGGGCUUCAUUUACUAUCUCUUCAUUUUCUAUUUUGAUAUUUGUUGGACAUUCUCAUAAAAAGGAAAGUUAUGUUUUAUUUUCUCAUAAGCUAGUAAUGAAAUAGCCCUACGUAACUGAUAUUGUAGAGACAAGAAUAGGUGUAAUAGAGCUUAAGGUUUUCAUUUAAAAAACUAUCUGUAGACUUCAAUGGAUCUUAGGUGGCAUCCAUGCAAUAACACUCGUGGAACAUGCAGGACAGGUGUGGAGCUCCAUCUUCACACAGUGACAUUUUUUAUGCUUCUGUUUUCCCUAAGAGUGGAGUGAGAGGAUGAUUAUUUUAUAUCAUGGACUUCUUCCCUGCUAUACUUUUUUUAAUUAUUUUACUUUCACUUCUGGGAUACAUGUGCUGAGCAUGCAGGCUUGUUUACAUAGGUAUACAUCUGCCAUGGUGGUUUGCUGCACCUAUCAACCCAUCAUACAGGUUUUAAGCCCUGCAUGCAUUAGGUAUUCGCCCUAAUGCUCUCCCUCGCCUUUCCCCCCACCCCCUGAUAGCCCCCAGUGAGUCAUAUUCCCCUCCCUGUGUCCAUGUGUUCUCAUUGUUCAACUCCCAUUUAUGAGUGAGAAUAUGUGGUGUUUAGUUUUCUGUUCCUGUGUUAGUUUGCUGAGAAUGAUGUUUUCCAGCUUCAUCCAUGUCCCUGAAAAGGACAUGAGCUCAUUCUUUUUUAUGGCUGCAUAGUAUUCCACGGUGUUAUAUGUGCCACAUUUUCUUAAUCCAGUCUGUCAUUGAUGGACAUUUGGGUUGUUUCCAAGUCUUUGCUAUUGUAAAUAGUGCUGCAAUAAACAUAUGUGUGCAUGUGUCUUUGUAGUAGAAUGAUUUAUAAUCCUUUGGGUAUAUGCCCAGUAAUGGGACUGAUGGGUCAAAUGGUAUUUCUGGUUCUAGAUCCUUGAGGAAUUGCCACACUGUCUUCCACAAUGGUUGAACUAAUUUAUACUCCCACCAACAGGGUAAAAGCAUUCCUAUUUCUCCACAUCCUCUCCAGCAUCUGUUGUUUCCAAAUGUUUUAAUGAUUGCCAUUCCACCUGGCGUGAGAUGGUAUCUCAUUGUGGUUUUGAUUUUCAUUUCUCUAAUGACCAGUGAUGAUAAGCUUUUUUUCAUAUGUUUGUUGGCCACAUAAAUGUCUUCUUUUGACUUUUAUGUGGAAACAAAUUUAACUGCACAGAGAGGUGAAAAUUAAUUAAUAACUUUUAAAGUAAUUCCCUAAGUUUCUAAGGAUCUAUAUGUUUCCAUCUGACUUUAUUUUAUUUAAGCUCUUGAUUGAUGCUGCAUUUGGAGCAGGUUCAUGAACAUGAAUAGAGUUAAUCUGGGACAGAUUUCCCUCAUUUGAUUUUUUCACUGUUUCCAUCACAGAACUUAUUUCAUGCUCACCAUGUUUGCAGGCAUUGAGCUUGGUACUGGAGCCACAGAGCUGGAUCAGACAGACUUGUGCAAAUAUUUCAGGUUUUUUUUGUGGGGGGGUCAUAUUUAUAGAUAAAUAACAGUAAAGAGUGACGGGUUCUUAUGAAAAUGCAUACACAGUGAAGUAGAGGGUGAAAAGGAGGGAUGUGUUCUAUGAGGAGGAAGAGUGAUAAGAAAGUGUAAGGGGAUGUGUCUGUGUCUAGACAUAUGUGUGUUCACGUGUGUGCGUGCUUGUGUGUACUGCAUGUGUAUAUGUGUGGCCAUGCACCUGUGUGCAUGUUCAUGUGUGUGUGUGUAUGUGUCUGUGUUGAGGACUAAAUUAAUUGGGCUUAUGGAAGCAGGGAGCCACUGAUAGGUUUAAUUAGAGACUGACAUGAUAUGAUAGUUUAGGUGGAUUUCUCUGGGGGCUGUGUUGAGGGACAGUGGGGAGGAGAGCUAGAAGGAAGAAAAGGACACAUGCAUAACAGAAGCAAUAUCUGUCUAUGGGAUGGUGGAAAGAAUCAGAAAAGACUUAAUAAAACAUGUGACACUUUAACUGAAUCUUGAAAUAGACAAGUGUUGGAGGAGGGAGUUGGACCAGAUACUUCAUGCAAAGGGAAGAAAAGUGCACAAACAAAAUAUGAGAAACAAGGCAGACAGGCAUUUUUUUAAAAUUUUCGCACCCACUGAUAGACCAGUGAUGCAUUCACAUCGUCUGCAUUCAUGAUCAACAAAAGUGCUUUCCUAGAACAUGAACCUCAACCCAAGUGUCGCCUCAAGUAGUGUAUGCAUGAACUCAAGCAUUAAAUUAGAAUUGAUUUUUUAAAAAACUCACACAAACAGAUGUAUUAUUUAAAAAUCUUUAAAGCAGGUUUAAACAGUUUUCAGGAUUAAAAGCAGCCACUAUUAGAAAGAACAAAAAUACAUUUGACAUAAAUAUAAGGAGCCUCAAUAGAACCUCCUGUACCCAGUCAUUGUCAAUGCCACAUCCAUUCAUUCACCAGCCCUUAUAUCAAUGCUUGCUGGGCUCACUUACCACGAUCAGCACGUGCAUGUCCUUAUCUGAAAGCUUGCCACUCAAAUGUGCUCAGUCUUACCUGUGUGGCUGGGAGUGUUGGGGAUUUAAUGUCAAGGGAAAGAAUCUUCCAUCAAUGAAUGAUGAAAGUUAGUUUUCACAACUUCCGGUCCCCUUGGCCCUCAUCAAAGGGCUCCAGGUGAGGUUUGGGCUCCUUGCUAUCCUCCGAGUUUCCACGGUAGUUUUAAGCACCAUUGCCCGUGGUAAUGGCUGACAUUGAUACUGCACUUUUUUUUUAUUUAAGAUGGAGUUCCCCUCUGCCACCCAGACUGGAGUACAGUGGCGCGAUCCUGGCCAUCGCAACCUCCGCCUCCCAGGUUCAAGCGAUUCUCCUGCCUCAGUCUCUCAAGUAGCUGGGAUAUGGGCACCUGUCACCAUGCCCAGCUAAUUUUUUUAAAAUUUAUUUUUAGUAGAGAUGGGGUUUCACCAUGUUGGCCAGGCUGGUCUCGAACUCCUGACCUCAGGUGAUCCACCCACACUUUUUAUUGUUUGCCUACACUUUCUAGACUUGCUUCAUCAGCCUACUCCGUUUCUGGUUGAUAUGGUUUGGUUGUGUCCCCACUCAAAUCUUAUCUAGAAGUGUAAUCCCCAAGUCUCAAGGGAGGGACCUGGUGUGAGGUGAUUGGAUUGGGGGGUGGUUCCCGCCAUGCUGUUCUCAUGAUAGUGAGUGAGUUCUCAUGAGAUCUGAUGGUUUUAUAAGGCAGUUUUCCCUAUUCUUGCUCACUCUUCUCUCUCUUUCUGCCAUGUGAAGAAGGUCCUUGCUUCCCCUUCACCUUCUACCAUGAUUGUAAGUUUCCUGAGGCCUCCCCUCAGCCAUGCACAACUGUGAGUCAAUUAAACCUCUUUCCUUUAUAAAUUACUCAGUCUCAGGUCGUAUCUUUAUAGCAGUAUGAGAAUGGACUAAUACACUGGUCUAUCCUUCAUCCAAAUUAACUACCUGCACUGCAGUCCUUGUCUCAGGCUCUGCUUUGAGGGACCCCAACUGUGACAGCCGCAUUAGAAUGCAUCACAUACUGCAGUGAAAUUCUAGAGUGGGUGUUGUCAGGUGGUGAUGAUUGUUAGAUAUGUCAGUCUGUUUUCAGGCUGCUGAUAAAGACAUACCUGAGACUGGGUAAUUUAUAAAGGAAAAGGAGGUUUAAUGGACUCACAGUUCCACAUGGCUAGGGAGGCCUCACAAUCAUGGCAGAAGGUGAAAGGCACGGCUUACAGGGUGGCAGCAAGAGAGGAAAUGAGAACCAAGUGAAAAGGUUUCUGCUUAUAAAACCAUCAGCUCUUGUGAGACUUAUUCAUUACAAUGAGAACAAUAUGGGGGAAACUGCCCCCAUGAUUCAAUUAUCUCCCACCAGAUCCCUCCUACAACACAUGAGAAUUGUGGGUGCUACAAUUCAAGAUGAGAUUUGAGUGGGGACAAAGUCAAACCAUAUCAUUAGAUAGGACACUGGAGAAAGGCAAGAAAGAAAAGACAUCUGAAGAAUGAAGGGAGCCAAAGAAAUGCCAACAUUUUGCUUUUUGAAGAAAAGCUAAAUUAAAGUCAAAAUGGAUUUAUCAAUUUCCUUGGGUUCGUGAAUGUACAGAACUUUAUUAAGACUGUCAUGCUGUCAUCAUGGCUGGAUCUGAUACGGCCACCGUGGACCUUGAGGUGACCUCGGGAAUGGAGACAGUGCAUGGGAGAGAAUCACAUUGGAAGGGGCCUGGGUUUCUGAAGACCCUGUAAGACAGAUCUCCUUGCAGCCCUGACUGCCCACAUUAGGGCUUUUAUGUUAGGGUGAAGUUACCUUGCAUUGUCAUAUAAGCAAUUGCUAUUUGUGGUGUCUUGCAAAUAAACCUAUUCUGAUCUAGUAUGUUUCCUAAAAAACAAAAGUUUGAACCCAGCUCUUUACGUGUUACAUGUUCUGAAUACAAAAAUAAGACCCAGUUUCUGCCCCCUAGCAGGACCCAAAACCCCUCAGUGAAGGCAUACACCAUAGGAAUAAUCUCACAAGUACUUU
rnacentral:lncRNA from 1 species